UUGGCAUCAUGGCAGUGUCUGGGCAGCAGGAGAGAGCCCUGGCUCACCUUUGUGUGACUCUUGACAUCAGGAGGAGCUCCCUAGACAGAUUACAUUCACUGUGAUUCAUGCUGCUAUUCUUCAUUUUCUUGUCCUGCACCCUUGGGACUGAUAGAAGAUUGCAAAGGGAUGAAUGAACAUUGCUUGGACAAAAAGAAGUAAAUGAGGAGCUGGAACCACAGCCCCUGUCCUUAGGAAUUCACAGUCUGGUAAGAGUGAUUUGGAAAAAAACUGAUUCAAGUGAAUAAAUGAUGCUCAUACAUUCUGGUUAUCAACAUGCUGCGAUCCAGUUUUGCCAAGACUACGUAAAUAUUAACCACUUUUUAAAUGUCAUGCAUGCCAUUUUGAAAUAAGGUAAAAGGGGAAGGGAUAUGAAACUUGACAGUGUAUUUUAAAAUUUUAAUAAUUAUUUUUCUUAUUGAAAUAUUGCUAUCUUCAGCUCCACUAUUGCUUACAAUUUGUAAGUUUCCUUCUCCAAAAUUAACAUGAAAAGAUAACCUUUUAUAAAGGUUAUGUUUUAUAUCCAUUC